rnacentral:lncRNA from 1 species
UUUUUACCUUUUGGCAAAGUGUUAUUUAAAUGUAUUUAAAUCUUUUAAGGAAAUAUUUCUAAUUUUGUGCCAAAAUAAAGCACUGUAAAUCCUAGCCACUGUUCCUUUGCUUCCCCAGGGGCCGCAGUGACUGUGUCCAGUCCUUCCUCACCCCGCUGCAGAGUCAGUCCAGGAGGCCUUUACCCACAGCACUGCCACCUCCCUCCACGACCCCUGUCUUUCUCUUCCCCAGAUUAAACGCUCCCACUUCUCUCCAUUCUUCUUUCUCCACCCCCAGGCCCAUUUCUGCCUCGGUUGCCUGCCUCCAACCACAAUCCAGUUUUUUGGCUCCCAGAGACAGACAUGCCCAGAUCUGAACACCACCCACCUGGAUAAAGAAAAUGGGUACGGCCAAGACCAUAGACCUAGUGAUUGUCAGAUGAACAAUUAGACCCACAGAACCAUCCAAGCUACAGAGGACGCAUUCUGCCUUCCCUUGGAUCCUGUGGUUUGAGGAUGGAGGUCUAGGACCGUGGCAGGCUUUUUGUCCCAUGAGGGAAGGCCAUGGAGCUGAGGAAGGGGAAGAACACACACACCUAAUGGAAUCUCGAGAGAAAGUUCAGACAUCAAA